UAAGAGGCUUUUCUAAAAGCCACAAAAAAAUUAAAAAAAAAUAAG
rfam:Opisthocomus hoazin contig26065, whole genome shotgun sequence.